UUUUGUUGUUAUUCUACUUAUAACACCGACAUCACCACCACCACCACCAGCCUCCUCCUUUUCGCCUCAAUUGUUUGAUCCAAUAACACGAUAUGUGGAAAAUCCCAACAGGCCGACCACAUUAGCGGAGGAACAACUUCCCGCAAGUUCUAGGAGAAUGAAGCCGAGAUUGACGGAGGAGGUUGAGACGAUCUCGCCCGGCGGGAAUAGGCCAUAAAGGAAAGAGGGAGAG
rnacentral:lncRNA from 1 species